rnacentral:rRNA from 1 species
AUGAAUCCCAUGGCCAAAUGUUGCCCGCUGCUCCUCCUCUUCCUCUUGUCGUUCCUCUCGCCCGAGGCGCGCGCGACAUCGUGCCACCCCGACGACCUCCACGCGCUAUGGGGCUUCACCGCGAACCUCAGCAGGGGGGGCGCCCUCCUUCGCGCCGCGUGGUCCGGCGCCGCAUGUUGUGGCUGGGAUGGCGUGGGCUGUGACGGUGCCACCGGCCGCGUCACAGCGCUGCGCCUCCCCGGACGUGGCCUCGUGGGGCCCAUCCCAGGAGCCUCCCUCGCAGGCCUCGCGCUGCUGGAGGAGCUCGACCUCGGCUACAACAGCUUGCGCAACAUCUCAGGGGUGAUCACCGUGCUGCGUGGGUGCCAGAACGUCACCACACUAAUUCUCACCAAGAAUUUUGACGGUGAGGAGUUACCGACCGAUGGUAUUAUUGGUGGGUUCAAGAGCCUCGUGGUGCUGGAUCUUGGUGAUUGUGCUCUUAGGGGCAGGGUUCCGGAAUGGUUGUCUCAAUGCAAGAAAAUGAAGGUGCUUGACCUGUCCCGCAACCAAUUGGUUGGCGCCAUUCCGUCGUGGAUUGGUAGGCUUGACCAUCUUUGCUACUUAGAUCUCUCCAACAAUACAUUAGUUGGCGAGGUACCCAAGAGUUCUAAGGGCCUCAACACCUCUGGGUGUUCAUCGGGCAUCAAUUUCAUGAAUAUGACAUUUUAUCUGAAGCGUAGCGGAAUAAGCAAACAUCGCCGACAACGUAAGCAUGCCCCAAAUGUCAUAGCUGGGACCAAUAACGUUGUCAGAUCUGGGAGCAACAAUGUUAUGGCCGGGAACGACAAUACUGUAAUAUUUGGGAAUGACAACGCCGUAUCCGGGAGCUAUCAGGUCGUAUAUGGGAAUAACCAUGUUGUAACUGGGGAUCAUCACGUCGUAUCCGGGAGCAACCAUGCCGCGUCUGGGAGCCACCAUGUCGUGAUUGGGAAACACAAUAUCGUAUCUGGGACCCACAAUGACGUAGGUGGGAGCAAAAAUAUCGUAUCCGGGAGUAAAAAUGUUGUAUCUGGGAGCCACAAUACCGUGUCCGGUAAGAACCAUUUUGUAACUGGGCACAACAAAGUCGUAACCUGA